rnacentral:rRNA from 1 species
GAUGAACGCUGGCGGCGUGCCUAAUACAUGCAAGUCGAACGGGGAGUCGCAAUACUCUUAGUGGCGAACGGGUGAGUAACGCGUUGGUACCUGCCCCGAAGCGGGGGAUAACGGACCGAAAGGUCCGCUAAUACCCCAUGUGCUCGGUAACGAGUAAAGGUGAAAACCACUUUGGGAGGGGCCUGCGUCCCAUCAGCUAGUUGGUAAGGUAACGGCUUACCAAGGCGAUGACGGGUAGGGGACCUGAGAGGGUGGCCCCCCACAAUGGAACUGAAACACGGUCCAUACACCUACGGGUGGCAGCAGUAGGGAAUAUUGGUAAUGGGCGCAAGCCUGAGCCAGCAACGCCGCGUGUGCGAUGACGGCCUUCGGGUUGUAAAGCACUUUUGACUGGGACGAGGAAGGACGGUACCGGUCGAAUCAGCCUCGGCUAACUACGUG